GAUGAACGCUGGCGGCGUGCUUAACGCAUGCAAGUCGAACGAUGAAGCCCAGCUUGCUGGGUGGAUUAGUGGCGAACGGGUGAGUAACACGUGAGCAACCUGCCCCUGACUCUGGGAUAAGCGCUGGAAACGGCGUCUAAUACUGGAUAUGUCCCGUCACCGCAUGGUGUGCGGGUGGAAAGAUUUUUCGGUUGGGGAUGGGCUCGCGGCCUAUCAGCUUGUUGGUGAGGUAAUGGCUCACCAAGGCGUCGACGGGUAGCCGGCCUGAGAGGGUGACCGGCCACACUGGGACUGAGACACGGCCCAGACUCCUACGGGAGGCAGCAGUGGGGAAUAUUGCACAAUGGGCGGAAGCCUGAUGCAGCAACGCCGCGUGAGGGAUGACGGCCUUCGGGUUGUAAACCUCUUUUAGCAGGGAAGAAGCGAAAGUGACGGUACCUGCAGAAAAAGCACCGGCUAACUACGUG
rnacentral:rRNA from 1 species